CAGAAGAGUUAGCCUCACUGAAAUCUCUGGAUUGUUAUCUGGGAGAGAAUCAUUUGCAAGAAAAGAAUAACUUAUCAGAAAGGAGAAACUGCACAGAAGAUCCAAAGGCUCAACUGUUCCCAUGUGUACUGGGCUUCUGACUCAUUCUGGUUCUCAGGAAAGAGAGGCAAACCUCUGUUUCACAGCAAUUUUCAGAGGGAUUUGGGGGCUCUCGGGCUGCUAUGAGCCAGUGGCUGCUGUGUGCAUGCAGGAGGAGGUCAUCUUGCAGAGGAGUAGAGAUGUUAGCUUUGCAGGGAAAUAAAGAAAGAUAAAGAAG
rnacentral:lncRNA from 1 species